GCUCCUGGAGCCCCUCCUGCUCUCCUCCUCCUCCUCAUCCCCCCCCUCUCCCCCAGGUGCCGGCAGGGCUGUUUCUCCCACUUCCUUUCUUUCUUUCUACUGGCUGCCGGGCAGCGCUGUGCCCUCCUCCCUUCCCCAGGCUGUCCCUGAGCCCUUAGCUGGAAAGUAGGGGGGAGGAAUAAGAGAACACGUGGAAUACGUAAAUCUCACCCCUAGGACUCUGGUUUGUUCCAUGCCAGAUAUGCCUGGAAAUACACCAGAUUUAACAGCAAGCUGAUAUAUAAGGAUCAUGUCCCAGCAACUACAAAAGGAAAUCAAGAUAAAUAAUGUGGUAAACAAGCAGCAAGACUGAGAGAUUGAGAAAUUUCUGUUAAUAAAGGACCUAUAUUUAUUUACUCUGUGGAAUAAAAGAAGAAAGUUUUGACAUUUGACAUCAAUGUCAAUCUGACAUCAACUUGUCAAUCUCAUCCACAUCCAGUUUUAUUUUGCACUACUCAUCCUAUGUAUUUUUUGACUGAAAAAAAAAGAAUGAUUGCUAUGCAUUUAGGCCAGAAACACAGGAAAAAUGUCAUAAACACAGUCAUAGCAGUAAGGCAGAAAACAACAAGGAAACAAUCAAUAGCAAAGGUUCAGUAAAACUGUUAUAAACCAGAUGUUGUGUCAUUGCUCACAUAAGGUUUCAGGCUUUUGAGUGACAGGCACUCCACAGCAAACUGGCAGCAUUAAUCAAUAAGUACAGUAGGUAAGAUUGACCAAUCUGUUCCUACUGUGGAGUUAUUGCCAUGUUAUUUUAUUCAAAACCCAAACAAAUAUUUUCAUUUGAAGAGGAAUUUUGUGUCUCUUGUCCAAGGUAUUGUGGUCUCAGUGUUGAUACUUUAAACAAUAUUGGUCAGUUCUCAAUUAACAUAAAAUAUUGGUAUUUUUAACUCUUUCUUCAAUAACAGAAAGCACUGGAAAUCUUACUGAAACAAGGGAAUAAGGCUUCUAUUAGUAAUUUUCAAGGUGUCUCUAAAUCACUAAGUCCUUGUGUAUUUUCUGUCCUGUUUUUAAACACUAGUCAAAGUAUGAUUGACAAUAAGUUGCAGUAAAUGGCACCAAUGUUCUCUCUGUAAUUUAAUAGUUAAGUUUGUUAAAGGUAAGGUUCAGCGAUACCUGAAGCUAAAAGAAAUUGGAGUGGGAUUUAGCUCAAAAUUCAGACAAAGACAGUUGGAUGUCUGAGUUCAAUGUAACCUGCAGUGGUAUUCAGCUGUCACCUACGGACUCACGUUUUAGAGUGGUUGUACUCUCAAAUCUGUAUCAUUUGCUGUCUUCAGUGUUGCAUACGCAUAAAAUUUUGCACUUCUUUGUUUUUUAAAAUGAUUUCCUGGAAUUUCUGAGAUAACUGAGCUCUAGUUUGUACCGGUGUGUUUUUAUUUGGGGGUUUAAAUGUUGUUUUCAAUCAAGCCUGUAAUACUUACAUCACAUCCACACCAGGGAGCAUGUUUUAGUCUGUGUCUUUCAUAGAAUAUUGGCUUUUUCUUAAAAGACAAAAGCAAAUAUGUUUUACAGUAAGUCCAUCUGUAUAUAGAUGGAUAAAAAGCUCAUAAACAAAUGGCUCUCUGCCAGUGAAACCACUAAAUUUCACAGAGGUUUAAUCAGGAUCUCCUGGAGGGAGAUGGAUUCUAUAGACCUUUUUUUUAAAAAAUGAAAAGAAUUUCAUAAAAACAUUAGGCUAAAACAUUUCUCUGGCUAAGGUAAAGAAUUCUGUGUGUUUACCGGAACUGGUACUCUAUAAAAAAGCUUUGCAGCUGCUAUUAGGUUCAAUUUUAUUCCUCAUAUGUGCUGGAGCCCUUUCUCAACCUAAGCACUUCUUUGGGCCCAGCAGCCUGGGUGUUUAUCGGCAAUCAUCAGAAAACAAGACAGUCUUUUUAACACAUCAUAAUGAUAAUGCUAUAAUGUAUUCCUAAUAGGUUACGUUUGCUCUGGUACAAAUCAGAGGGCAGAGAACAGGUAGUUUCUGUAGCCAUGAGGGCUGGGAAUGAGAACAAAAGCGUACAGGUAAUUUGAUGAGCAUUUUACCAUUGCUCUCAAAAUCUUGUCACUUUGAGGAUUUGUGAAAUUCCAUUGUAUGUGGGAAGUUUGUCAAGAACAGCUCUUUGUAACAUGACUUCUUUUAAUAGUGUAUUCAAUGUAAUAUUGUGCAUAUCAUCCAUCUUGAAAUGGGUAAACAACCUAUUGAAUUUUCAUUAGGAGACAGCAUGCAAAGACUUACCCAAAUUGUGUGUAUCUCACAGUAGUAACUCAUGCAUUCAGUUUUUCUGUAAUAUUGACAUUAAGACCCCAGAAAUGCUGGUAACCUUAUAAUGUUGUGUAAUCAGUAGCUUUCUCUUACACUCUGAAUUAAGUAUAUUACUGGUGGAGUUAUGAAUAUUUAAAUAUACUUUAU